AGGACGAACGCUGGCGGCCGUGCUUAACACAUGCAAGUCAAGGGGGAGUCGCAAGACUCAACCGGCGAACGGGUGCGUAACACGUGAGCGACCUACCUAAUUGUGGGGGAUAGCCGGCCCAACGGCCGGGUAAUACCGCAUACGAUCGGAGAGGGGCAUCCCUUUCUGAGGAAAGCCUUCGGGCGCAAUUUGAGGGGCUCGCGGCCUAUCAGCUAGUUGGCGGGGUAACGGCCCACCAAGGCGACGACGGGUAGC
rnacentral:rRNA from 1 species